rnacentral:rRNA from 1 species
GUGAGGAAUUUUCCGCAAUGGGCGAAAGCCUGACGGAGCAAUGCCGCGUGAAGGAUGAAGGCCUAUGGGUUGUAAACUUCUUUUCUCAGAAAAGAAUUAUGACGGUAUCUGAGGAAUAAGCAUCGGCUAACUCUGUGCCAGCAGCCGCGGUAAGACAGAGGAUGCAAGCGUUAUCCGGAAUGAUUGGGCGUAAAGCGUCUGUAGGUUGUUUAAAAAGUAUUCUGUCAAAGAUUAGGGCUUAACCCUAGAUAGGCAGAAUAAACUUUUAAGCUAGAGUCUGGUAGAGGCAGAGGGAAUUCCCGGUGGAGCGGUGAAAGGCGUAGAUAUCGGGAGGAACACCAAAGCCGAAGGCACUCUGCUGGGCCAAUACUAACACUGAGAGACGAAAGCGAGGGGAGCAAAUGGGAUUAGAUACCCUAGUAGUCC